rnacentral:lncRNA from 1 species
CAUUUUCAUUUUUUUGGACCAAGGACCUCAAAACAAAAGACCCUAGGCCUCUAACACUUAUGGUUUUCCAGUUAAAAAUGCAUAUCACUUAUAUCAAAUAUAAAAGGGGAAAUAACUCUCAUAUGGAGUCUCCGGAUAGCUUCGGUCAAAAUAAAUCAAAUCAUCCUGAGGAUAUAUCGAGCAAUUUGGUAAAAUAAAUUUGUCGGUUUCUUAUACAGUUGCGAAUAUUAAGCGAUCACAAGAAAAACAGUGUUUGGGGAGAUAACUCUUACAUUGAAAAGAUUUUGGUUACGCGGUGUCAGUUACAAAAGCGUAAUAACUGUUCGAUAUCAUGUACCAUAUGUCUAAGCGACAUCUUGCGAAACAAAAAAACUGUGAAGGAAAAAAAAGUUGGCGGAAGAAAAAAAAAUAAUAAUAAUAAUAAUCAGAAGAAU